UACGGAGGGGGGCGAGCGUUAUUCGGAAUUAUUGGGCGUAAAGGGCGCGUAGGCGGCUGUACAAGUCAAAGGUGAAAUCCCUCGGCUCAACUGAGGAACUGCCUUUGAAACUGUACGGCUUGAGGCCGGGAGGGGGUAGCGGAAUUCCCAGUGUAGCGGUGAAAUGCGUAGAUACUGGGGAGGAACACCAGUGGCGAAGGCGGCUACCUGGACCGGUUCUGACGCUGAGGCGCGAAAGCGUGGGUAGCAAACAGG
rnacentral:rRNA from 1 species